GUAAGACAUUGAUUUUUAUGAAGAGGCGCAAAUCGACAACUUAGGGCCACCACUUAACGCUGGCCCCGAAAGGGAUGUCGACAACUUAAGACUGG
rnacentral:sRNA from 1 species